rnacentral:rRNA from 1 species
GAAUUCAGUGAAUCAUCGAAUCUUUGAACGCACCUUGCGCUCCUUGGUAUUCCGAGGAGCAUGCCUGUUUGAGUGUCAUU